UGGUCAUAUCACGAUGAAAAAUCGGUCCUCGUACGAUCGCCGUAGUUAAGCAACGUCGAGCCUGGUCAGUAUCAGGAUGGGUGAUUGGUUGGGAAUACCAGGUUAUG